rnacentral:lncRNA from 1 species
AGAAUGGUGCUUGAGCUCAUGCUGUUGCUACCACUGGGAGGAAAACCCAUGCUACAAUUUACAGUGGGAAUCUCUUCUUUCACACAGAAGCCUAUGGCAUUCAGGCCUGUCGUUCUGGUAUGCAUGACUCCAUGAAGGAGGAAUUGGAGUUUUGCUUUAAGGCCUGGGCUCAGUGCUACUGUACAGCACAUGACUUCUGUGUUACUGAGCAACAGUGUUUGUUUUCCCACCACUGAGAUUCCCAUUUUGCUCUCCUAGGCGCAUGUCACAUAGUUCAUCUGUGUGGUGUGUUCUAAUUCUGGUUAAGGAAGGCUGCUGCCAGCAAUCCAGUCUUGGCAAGCCAUUUGAACUUCCACAUGAGAGUCAAGCAUGGAUUAUUCCUUUGAUUCUUCUGUCUUC